AGAUUGAACGCUGGCGGCAUGCCUUACACAUGCAAGUCGAACGGCAGCACGGGAGCAAUCCUGGUGGCGAGUGGCGAACGGGUGAGUAAUACAUCGGAACGUGCCCAGUAGUGGGGGAUAACCCGGCGAAAGCCGGACUAAUACCGCAUACGACCUUCGGGUGAAAGCAGGGAUCGCAAGACCUUGCGCUAUUGGAGCGGCCGAUGUCAGAUUAGCUAGUUGGUGGGUAAAAGCCCACCAAGGCGACGAUCUGUAGCUGGUCUGAGAGGACGACCAGCCACACUGGGACUGAGACACGGCCCAGACUCCUACGGGAGGCAGCAGUGGGGAAUUUGGACAAUGGGCGCAAGCCUGAUCCAGCCAUGCCGCGU
rnacentral:rRNA from 1 species